rnacentral:rRNA from 1 species
UGAAGCAUGUGGUUUAAAUUCCGGAAAGCAACGCGAAGAACCUUUACCAGGUCUUGACAUCCCGAUGCUAUUUCUAGAGAUAGAAAGUUACUUCGGUACAUCGGUGACAGGUGGUGCAUGGUUGUCGUCAGCUCGUGUCGUGAGAUGUUGGGUUAAGUCCCGCAACGAGCGCAACCCCUAUUGUUAGUUGCCAUCAUUCAGUUGGGCACUCUAGCGAGACUGCCGGUAAUAAACCGGAGGAAGGUGGGGAUGACGUCAAGCCAUCAUGCCCCUUAUGACCUGGGCUACACACGUGCUACAAUGGUUGGUACAACGAGUUGCGAGUCGGUGACGGCGAGCUAAUCUCUUAAAGCCAAUCUCAGUUCGGAUUGUAGGCUGCAACUCGCCUACAUGAAGUCGGAAUCGCUAGUAAUCGCGGAUCAGCACGCCGCGGUGAAUACGUUCCCGGGCCUU